AAGACCAUUAAGCCAUGGGGAGUUGGCUAAGGGUAGUACUGCUUGGGGAUUAGUUGUUAGUUGGCAGGGGGAGAGAUCUCAGAUUGCUACUAGAGCAGCAAUAAGUAGUUGUUUUAUUAGCUGGACAGCAGCUGGCUGAUGAGAUGCAGGACCAUAAUCCUCUACUGAAUGUGAUUUUAAAAACCAAGGGAAGCUAACAGAAGAUGAUUACAAAACCUGAAAUUGCUUUGACAGUAUGAGUGACAUGGGGAGCACUAUUGAAAUACACAGAAACAUAUGCACUAUUCAGCAAAAGAAUAACAAACCAACAAGUACUAGCUACGUACCAAUUAUUGCUUAUGUUGGUCUUCAGUAGUCUACAUUUCAUGCUCUUCUGCUUCAGCAUAAAGUGUGCUAGAUGCCAUCAUGGAGGAAUUCUCUAAUUCAUCAUUCCUAACACCUGUAUAGCCAUAGAAACAUUUUCCUCUCAGAGGCAAAUCUUCCCGCUCAUAUGAAAAGAAUUGAUUUCUUUCUUGUCUUCAGCAAUGUUGAUCAUAGAACACAGAAAUCUAAAAGUAAAGUUCAAAACAUUUUUUGGCGUACUACUCAUUUCAGCUGUAUGGAGCAUAAAUAUGUAACAUUAAAAAUAAUCCAGGAAUACUAGAACAGGUAAUCAGGAAUAAAGAGUUUCGCUUGAUGUUUGUUUUGCAGUUACUGCCCUUGCUCUGGUUUCCUCAGUCUGGUAGAAUUUGUGCACUGAGGCAUGUUCAAUUCUACAUAGAGCACUUUGAGCAACUACAAAUUGAAGUAUUUGUAUAAUGUUUUGGCAAUUAAAAAAAUCCCUAGUUCUUGAUGUGCAUAAUUAUAUGAAAUUAUUUUGUAUAUGUGCUGUUCUAAAAUGGUUUUAAUUUGAAAAUGAUUUUACAGUUUCAUAAGGUAUUGCCAUAUUUCAGUUUCAUAAUUAACUUGAAUACAGGAGUCCAUAUGGCAGAUGAGUAAUAUUUAAUAAAAAUAGCCAACCAACAUUCCAGAGAAAGAGGUGAGGUUAUUGUGGAGAGAUCUGUGCACUACAUAAUUCAUGAUUUUUUUGUAGAAGACAUUGCGUUAUGCCUAGAAACUGUUUUGUGUUUACAAUCUAACUAAGGUAUACCGCAGCUCCAGUAAUGAAUAAUGCAGAUAAUAUGGUGCCCUCGGUGAACUAUAGAGCAGAAAAAGCAGCUGACUAUCAGAAACAGCUCUUUAGGGGAGGAGGGGGGAAAAAAAAAAGUGAGCAAAGCAUAUUACCUUGAUGGAGGAACAGAAAAAUACAGAUUUUACUUCACAACUGAUUUGUAAAAACAAGCUUGCAAAUUUUGUAGUUCCUAAAGCCUUUAGGAAAACACAGAAGUAAUUAAACAAAGGUGAUCUCUGCUCCAUGCUUUGCAGAUGAACUGGUAUGAUGUUUCAUCGUGAAAGUUUAUGUAAUGUAAAUGUGGGCCAUCAGUGGUAAAGUACUUCUAAAAAUGAAACCACCUCUGUGAAACACACAAUGGGUCUGACUCAUUAUAGAUAGUAUUGCUGUUUGCAAUCUAGGAUGUAGUGAAGAUGGUGUCAGCACUUUUAUUAUGUAACUUCCUAUUGUGGGUUUUUAAUAACAGCAGCAAAAAUUUACUUCAGGCUAAAUCUGAGUGCACAAGGUUUCAGGCAUUGUAUUAUUCUUUUGUUCCUUUGUUUUUAUAUAAAUUUGAAUAUUUUAUACUGAUUGCAUUUACCACUAGAAAAAAAAUUGCUGUCUGUAAAACGUGCUGAGUUUACAAUCUUGUUUGGGUAUUCAGAGUAUUUACACCAUUAUAGGUAAAGAUUGCAGAUACCAUCACUUUUGUUUUUUUUUGUUUGUUUGCUUGUUUGUUUGUUUGUUUACAGCUGAUAAUUAAUUUUUAAAUUAAUUGUCAAAUUUAUUCAAACCUUGUUAAAGAAUAGAACUGUGAUGGUUAGCAUUAAUACACAAAUGAUAAAAAUAAGGACCUUAAUCUCAAACUAUUUGUAUUACAGCUUUGAGUUAAAAGUAGCUUAUGCUCUAAGUAAAUUCACAUCAUAG
ensembl:lncRNA